GGCAAUGCGCAACUGGUUUCUUCCUCUCAAGUUACCUGAUCUGGCAGGUGUGUCGUUUCCUCCCGCCAGCUGACGACGACUUUCACUCUUGAUUCUUGGAGUGACUGACGCUGUUCGUUUGAUCAUCAUAGCCUACAAUAAUGGCGCGGUUAGGCGGAUUAUAAAGUGCACGAGCUCGCAUGUUGGUAUUGUUUUGCUACUCGGAACAGCUAUCGCCAUGAAGGACCGUUUGGCCGAGCUUUAUUUGAACAAUAAUGUGCCAAAGGAUGUCCCUACCACAGACGAAAACGCAACAUAUAUGGAUGACUUCUUUAAAAAGGUGGGAGAGAUUCAGAAGAGCAUAGAAAAAAUAUCUUGUCUGGUUGAUGAACUGAAGAGGGUUCACAAUACCAUCCUGUCAGCUGCCAACCCUGAGCAAAAGUCUAGACAGGAGCUGGACAAGCUCAGCAACGAGAUUAGGAGGCAUGCAAGCUCAGUUCAGAGUCAGCUGAAACAUAUUCAGAAGUCGUUGCCGGAGGAUGAGAACGGCAAUACUACCUCUGUCGGCUAUCGUAUUCAGAAGGCCCAGCACUCUAUGCUGUCCGGCCGGUUUGUGAAGGUCAUGACCAGUUACAGUGAGGCCCUGGUGGCUUUCAGGGAUAAGAACAAAGGCCUUAUCCAGAGACAACUCGAGAUCACGGGCCGACCGACUACAGAUGAAGAACUGGAAGAGAUGCUGCAAAGUGAAGGACACCUUGCUGUCUUUACAUCUAAUCUCCUUGAGGAGACCCAGAUAACGCAACAGGACAUGAACGCGAUCGAGUCACGACAUCAGGACAUCCUCAUGCUAGAGGCUAGCAUCAAGGAGCUGCACGAGAGGUUCUUGAUGAUGGCCGUACUAGUAGAGACCCAGGGGGAGAUGGUGAACAACAUAGAGACCAAUGUGAGCAAUGCUGUGGACUACGUGACCACUGCCAAGACUGAGACCAAAAAAGCGGUGCGCUAUCAGAGGCGCGCUCGCAGGAAAUCAAUUAUACUUGCUAUAAUCGUCCUGGUUCUUCUUGCCAUUGUUGCACUUAUCGUUGGUCUUGCUGUUGGAUUGCCUAAACCCUAGCUUCACCUUUAUGGCCUUCACUUACCACGAACAUGCUUCUUCACACUCCUUCGGAGAAGAAAUCGCAAGCCAUCCGUCAAAGUCCAGUGUUUGCACUUAUCUUGUGACUCUGAAGUGCCGUAGGAAUGUAGACUCACCGACCUCUUCAUUAGGAACAUCUAUCUAUUGCUGGGUUGAAUCCCCUUUUGCCCUCAGAACUGCCUGAACUGCACUGUGUAAUUUUUUUAGUAGUUCAUUUCCAGAACUCAAGCAGUGCAUUCACAAGUAUUACCUUUUAAACAAAUACUUACCACCAACAACAAAUUCAAUGUAUAUCCAUGCAUGUCCAGAUGAUGAAAUGACUAAUGAAACAUAAACAUGUGGAAUCAAGGUCAGAGUUUGGAGUAUAAAUGGCUACUACAUCCUUUACUAGACGACUGGCUAGGGAGGCUAUUCCACGGAGACGGGUUCCAUAAGAAACUAGUGUAGGGGUGGAUUCCAAUAUGCAGACUCCCAUCCUCCCUUGCUCGCUCGCCUCCUUGUGGUCUCGUGAUGACGUCACCAACAACAGAAUUGUAUUUCAAUAUCACGCAAAAGCUCACUUCUAAUGUCGUUUUCCCAUUUGCAAAUGAUUUGGUGAAUGAAGAACAGUCCCCCAAAAGGGAAGAUGUAGGCCUAAUUGUUUUCUCCAUGGAGGCGGAUCAUCAGCGAAACGUGAGGCAGCAAGCCCAGGCCGAAUACGGGAGUCAGCAUAUUGGAAUGCACCCUAGGUGAAGUUAACAUGGAAGUGCUGAUUGGAAAGAGGGUCUUCCUUACUAAACUAAAUGGCGACCACAGGCUAUCAAUUAGCAGGGUUACCACUUUCUGUAGGUUGAUUUAUCCAACUUUUGCACUUAACCAUGUUGAUGGAAUACUCUGAUUUAAACUUAUGUACAUGCUUUUGUUCAUUAGCAGUAGCAAGUCUGGUUGCUGUCCGUACCUUGUAUUUGUGUGUAUACAUGUAUGAAUAUUAACCAUCUGUGAGAGUCAUUAAAAAAAUAAAACACUCAA